CGGACGGGUGAGUAAUGCCUAGGAAUCUGCCUGGUAGUGGGGGACAACGUUUCGAAAGGAACGCUAAUACCGCAUACGUCCUACGGGAGAAAGCAGGGGACCUUCGGGCCUUGCGCUAUCAGAUGAGCCUAGGUCGGAUUAGCUAGUUGGUGAGGUAAUGGCUCACCAAGGCGACGAUCCGUAACUUGUCUGAGAGGAUGAUCAGUCACACUGGAACUGAGACACGGUCCAG
rnacentral:rRNA from 1 species